AUGCUCACUUUGGCAACACGUAUAUUAAAAUUUGGAUGUUAUAGAGAAGAUUAGCAUGACCCCUGCUCAAAAAUGACAUACAAGUUCAUAAAAUGUUCCCUAUAUUU
rnacentral:snRNA from 1 species